AAGUCUAUUCCUGUGUCUGCUCACCUGGUUCGUGUAACAUCCCUUGCCAUGCGUUAACAACACUUCAGGUGCCACAUACAUUGGAGUUCCGCAAAAAGUUCGCAUCAUAGUUUGGGUGUCCACCAGCUUAGAUAAUCCAAAGUCUGAUACUUUAACCAGUGUCAUCUGGGCUUGGCUUGCCAAUAGAAUAUUUUCUGGCUAUUAAAAAAGAAGCACACUGUAAACAAAAUUUCCAUAGUUCAAAGGCUGAUUGUGAACCUAAAAGUACCUUCAAAUCUCUAUGGGCUAUCCCUCUUUCAUGUAACCCAUGGUAUUUUUGGAUCCUAUCAAAUAAUUCUCCCCCUUCCAUCAGUUCUAGAACGAUGUAGACACAGGAGGGAGUGUCCAGAAUUUCCUCCAUUCUUAUUAUACAUGGCUAUGGUAAACAAUACAACCAAAAUCAAUGUGUGGCAAAAUAUCAUAAUUACUAUUUCAUGAAAAAAAGACCACUCACAUGCCUCAAAGCCUUGAGGAUGUGGACUUCGUUUAAAAUUUUUCCGGGAUCAUUAAAUGCUUGACCCUUUUCUGGAGUAAGAAAUUUACUUUUUGCGAUAGUUUUUAAAGCAAACUUUUUGCACCCCAUCUUUGUGAAGAGCAUUUUAACUUCGCCACAAACUCCCGAUCCCAAGGUUCUAGAAACUGCAUACUUGCACUUCAGUUCCAUUGGUAAGCCACUGCCUUCAGCAGCUCUGGUGCUGAUAAACGUAUAAACUGAGACAAGCAAUCAGGUUCAGGGAUCUCCAUAAAAGACGGAAAGGAAGAUUUUUAGCCCUACUUAUAGACUUACCUGAAAAAUCGGACUUUGCGAGAGAAAUAGUAUCAUUGUUCUCAAGAACAACUCUUUUGCCUUGCCCAAUAUAAACCCUAUUAAGAAAUGUACCGUUGUGGCUAGUAUCCUCAAGAUAGAUGACAAAUUCAUCUAAAUUAUUACUUAAGACCUCUUUGAUAAUUCGAAAAUGCUGCUUGCUUAUGACGCUAAGUCGCCGAUCGGUCAGGUCUUUAGUAGGGACUAUGUCACACCUCUCAGAACGGCCAAAGGUAUAC
rnacentral:misc_RNA from 1 species